rnacentral:lncRNA from 1 species
GAGAAACAAGAGAUCCUAUGGCAAUAAGUAAUAUAUCAAAGUGUCAAAAUCUGAUAAAUUCAGUGCUAGAAUUAACAGUUUUCCUGAAUUGCAGGUCAACGAUGUCUCUAAUGCAGAUAGUAAGCAAAACAUUAAAAUAACUAAAUAACUGUAAUUGAAAUGAUUCAGCAAACUCUUUGGCAUGACCAUAUAUGUCCUCAAUUUUAAUCAAAUAUAUAUUAGAUUUAUUUAUAAUAUAUAGGUUAAUUUAUUCUUUUAUGAUCAUUAUCUAUUUUUUGAGAAAUGACCUCUAGUAAACAGCCUCAUUUGGCCUCAGGAUGUGUGUACAGUAAGAAAAAAGUCUCAAGAGUUCUCUCUAUUAUAUUCAUAACAUAUUUACAUAUCCCCAAGGCCUUUCACAUACUGGUCAGUCACACACAGCAAGCAAUUUGAAAGUUCAUGAAGUUUUGCAAUAUAACAUUGUUAUCCUUUCAAGCUAUUUCUAAGAAUUCGUGUGCUUUAUUGAAAACAUCAAGGAAAAUGAAUAUGUCUUUUUAAACCCAGAACUUGAAAUGACACUGGACUCAAGAGAUCAAGUUUAUGAAUACAGGAGUUAUGUGUUAUGGCUUCUGUUUAUCUGCAGAAGAGCUGUCAAGGUGAAAGGGGUUGUGUGAGAAUGGCCUUAGGCCUGAGCCUAAGCAACUCCUGUAAUGCCAGAUUCAUGGGACCCCAAUAGGCCUCCAGGAUCUGAAUCUGAUGCAGUCACACAAGAGUGUUUAUUGUAAGCUCAAGCCUGGACUCACAACCAUUUCAGAUACAGUGGUCCCAAAGAGUGAGUCUUGACCCUUAAUUCAUUGAGGAUUAAUAGAUUUUGGGGGAUAUUGUAUGCAUCACAACAUCAAACAGCCAAUAAUUUCACAUCACAGAAAAGUCAAACAACAACUCUUAACAUUGAUUAGCACAUUCAUUGGCAGGAACAAGUUAUGUAAGGGUGAUUGGUUAGUUCAAGUUGUGGAUACACUUGAACUGAUUGGUUUAGGCCAUGAGAGGUUGCAAGAGUGUAUAUGAUAAACUUGCCUAAUUAUUUUAUCAAUCAACAAAACUACUGGGAAGGUCACCUGGUGUUUCAGGUAUUUUCUGUGUCUCAUGCUUUUUGUGGUAGCUAGGGUGUUGCUAUGGGUCCUAACCUAGUGUAACUGAGUCAGGAUCACUUGGCAUGGAAGAUCUCUCCAGUUAUUCACAGACAAACAACUCAGCAGGGUGGGUAUAUGCCUAGGAGCACUCUGAGUUUUUCCAUGGACAAG